GACAGAGGAGCCAAGCGUUGUCCGGACUGACUGGGCGCAAAGCGCACGCAGGCGGCGCUGUGCGUGGGGUGUGAAAGCUCUUGGCUUAACUGAGAGAGGCCAUCCCAUACGGCAGCGCUCGAGCGGUGCAGAGGUCCGCGGAAUUGCCGGUGUAGUGGUGAAAUGCGUAGAGAUCGGCAGGAACACCCAGGGGGAAACCAGCGGACUGGGCAUCGGCUGACGCUGAGCAGGAAGCGUCGGGAGCGAACAGGGAUAGA
rnacentral:rRNA from 1 species